GUACCAGACUCCUACGGGAGGCAGCAGUGGGGGAUAUUGCACAAUGGGGGGAACCCUGAUGCAGCGACGCCGCGUGGGUGAACAAGCGCCUCGGCGCGUAAAGCCCUGUCAGCAGGGAAGAAAAUGACGGUACCUGAAGAAGAAGCCCCGGCUAACUACGUGCCAGCAGCCGCGGUAAUACGUAGGGGGCAAGCGGUAUCCGGAUUUACUGGGUGUAAAGGGGGCGCAGACGGCGAUGCAAGCCAGGAGUGAAAGCGCGGGGCCCAACCCCGGGACUGCUCUUGGAACUGCGCGGCUGGAGUGCAGGAGGGGCAGGCGGAAUUCCUAGUGUAGCGGUGAAAUGCGUAGAUAACAGGAGGAACACCGGUGACGAAGGCGGCCUGCUGGACUGCAACUGACGUUGAGGCCCGAAAGCGUGGGGAGCAAACAGGA
rnacentral:rRNA from 1 species